AUAGUCAACGGAUACACGAAGUUUUUUUUUAUAACUAGCCUAUAGAGAGGAAACCAUACUUACGUUAUUGACUUAAUAUUGAUCUGAAAAUGGAUUCUAAAACAGAAUCUGAAUAUGAAGUAGAUUCACGGGAUUCAAGAGAGUCUGAUGACUCUGCGGGACCUAUCGACAUGAGCUCUUUUGCUCUACCUGACUUAGAAGCCAAUGAUGACGACGAGGAAUCUUCUGAAAGCUAUAAAGAAGACUUCUGGUUUGAAGACCUGGUAUGGCCAGACCCUUGCGGCCUGUUUCCUGCGCGAAGUGGCAUUAAGCCUGCCCUAUUGACCACGACAAUUGAUAGCACUGAUGUAGACAUAGAACUUGGCUCUGCAACCAGGUGUCAGAUGUCGUUGGUGGUCAAACGACGGCCCAGGCCUACAGAAUUGCCCUGGAAUGUUGUGGUCAUUAAUAGCGAUCCACCAAUCAUUGAAGAAGAUGAUGUUGAGGAAUAUUUGGUUCAUGACCCACUAUUUGUGGAGUUUUUUAACGCUUUCCUAUCGUUGCCUUCUUUCCCAGAGCCAAUCUGCUUUAACGUAGAGACUGGAGGUUUUGAAGUAGUCAGCGAUGAUAAACAAAAGCUGGCCCAACAGAUCAAAGAGGCUGUCAGGUCACAACACACAAUGUCUAAGAAAUAUGAGGUCACCAGGCAGCAUGCAUUCUCUGACAUGCCCGUUGUACCCAUUGAAGAUAAUGAUGCACCCGAGACUGUGAAGAUAGACACAUCAUUUCAAGUGAUUACAUUAAACAAGGAUCAAGGAAUCUACUGGAUAAAAUCAGAGCGGCUACCAAUCUUUCUAGAAAGUGAUUUUUAUUUCCAUUAUCGCCUGGCCAAAGUUAUCUCCCAAGUUCGUAUUGUCAAUGAUAAAGGAGAAUUUGUUGUUAUGAAAAUUGACUUCACCAGCAGACCAAAGAAGAAGAAAAAGACAGUUGAGGUCACACCCCCUGAACUGGAAGAAACCAUCGUGAAAGAAAUGUUUGUUAGUUUUGGGGAUGUGAAGGGAGCUGCUAAAGAAGCUUGGUUCACUCAAGCUAAAAAUGAAUUAAAGACUCAGCCAACAUAUUCCACUUUAAGCCUUAAGCCUUCUACAAUAGCUCCUUCUGUAUUAUCUCAUGAUGUUUUGGAACAGAAAGAGAAGAGUUCUGUGUUUCAUAGCCAGUACUUUGGAGUUUACACACCAGGCUUAAUUGGUCCUUUUGAUUCUGAGCCACCUAUCAACGACUACACUGAUAAAAUGUUCUCCAAAGAAAAACCUUUCACUCCUAGACCUUCUGACAAAAUCCAUUCAUCUACUGCCAUGUUAAGAAAAAAAAUCUGUGAUGCCGAGGAGGAAAUGGUGCCAGCAGGAAAUGUUUUAUUUUUGUGGCCAAAACAGGACCACCAGACAACAGAUGCAGAGUCUGGAAUUGGUGAGAUGGAUGAGAAGGAUGAUGAGUUUGAGAAGCGAAUCACUGCUCAGCCAAUCAUUGACCAGAUCUACUAUGAUGGAUCAUGGGAGUCUGGAGGAACUGGUGAAAUUAUUCUGAGAUCUGUUGAUGAAUUGGGCUCUGUCAUUGUUGGGGCUGUAAUGAAGAAAACUAUUGCUGAAAUGCUAGACAUUGAUGAGAAGAUUGUGUUGGCAGAUCCAGCAAUAAGCAGCAUCUAUCCUUCAAUGGACCUCACCUGUGUCUCUACUGACAGGCUAGAGAAUUUAGUUGUGGCAAAGAAACACAGCGUCCCAGAGAUGGACUUUGAUAUAGAAACUUUAAAACCAUUGAUGGUAGGAGCUGCAGAUGAUAAAGAACCAGUGCACAUCAAGUGGGACAAGCCGAUGCCUAAGCCAGCGGAAGAAGAAAGUGAUGCAGAUUCAUUGCUUGAUAGUGAUGAAGACUUUGAAGAGAGAGACAUUCAUUUCCGAAGAAAAAAGGAUAAAUGGCAUAGCUUGACAAGCCUCAAAGGGAUUAUGGCUUUCAAAAAGUUCCUAGAGGGCACACACGGAGAGAAAUACUGGGAACUGUGGAUAGAUAUUGAUAAAGGAAGACUGAUUAAUACAGAAGAAGAAAAACAGAGAUACAUUUUACACAUGAGAGACAAAUAUUACAAAAAGGGUUCUCCAUUUGAACUCUCACAAGAAGAUAAAAAGAAGUUGGGACUUGAGAAUUUAUCAAGUUGGUGUCCCAAAUAUCUCUUUCAGGUUCAUGCUAAAGUUUUGGAACCAUUGGUUUUAUAUUGGGCUCCUAGAUACCUAUUGAAACACUUACUACAGACUCAUCCAGAAAAAUAUUAUCUCUACAAUCAAAUGAAGUCAUCCUUGCCAGCCAAAGAAUCUGACCCAUUCCCACACACCCAAGAGCUGCUCCCCCUCAGACCAAAGUCCUGCUGUCCUAGGAUCAGAACAGGACCUGGAGUUGUGGAGGAGGAACCUGAGAAAAACAUUACAAGUCUGAUUAAACCCAAACCUGAUCCAUUUGCAACAACCCCAUUAACUGGAAACAAGCGGGUUUAUGGAGAAGAUACCAUUAAACGCUUAAUGAAGACACCGACUGCAAAGUAUCUUGGAUUGAAGCCACAAUCCAAACCAAAACAAAUGAGAGCAGCAUCAGCUAAGUCAAUUCCCUGUAAUGUUGCCCGGAGCCCUUCAGUUCUUCUGACUGGUAGAAAAUCCAUAGACAAAAUAGAACCUUCUGCUGGAAAGCUUACUGGUGUCAGUGGUAAAAAUUCUGAAGAACUAAUCAAUGCUGAGAGCAAGAUGGCUGCUCUGCCUAGUAAAUCUUGCACUACUGGUGAUAAAGUGCCAUGCCCUAGCAAACCUCUUACAGCCAUAUUAGGUGAGCGUUCUGUUACAGCUGGACUGACUUUGGCACCUCUUAAAAAGCCCAGAGAUUUGUUAUCACCCAUGAUGAAGAUUGUGGACACACACCAUAAGAAAUCUCGUCUAGAAGGGGACAAAGGAAAACAGCUAUACACUUUCUACAGACAAGACUCCCAAGAAGCUAGUAAAGUUUGUCCCAAGCCAGGAGAACCUCUCCAAGAAGAUAUUCAUUAUGCUGAAAUGACUGACUGUGAGUUCAUGGGUAGUGAGAGAAUGGAGUUUUUAUUGCAAGCACUUCACCAUGAACAGGAUUCUGGCAGGUCCUUUAGGAAAUACAUUCACAAAAGUGAACGAAUGGACUGGAUUAAUCACCUUGACUUUUGGGAAAAAGUUCAAGAAUACAGAAAACUGUUUUACAAAGACAAGCUUGAUCUUCAUUUAAUAGCAAAACAAGCCAAGCUAAUAUUUGCUCAAUGUAUUGUGGAAGGAGCAGCCCAAGGUAUUGGUGUGUCAGAAAGUAUUGAGUUGUCUAUCUUAGAUCAUCUAACUCCUGCUUAUGAAGAUUUGUUUGAUGAAGCUGAAGAGUUCACUCUCAAAGCUUUAUUUGAAGCCUUCCAACGUUACCUUAAUCAAGAUGUGAAAAGCUACUGCAAGGUAGAACGAGCAGAAAUAAAAAGAAGAUUAGAAACCAAAAAUAACUACAUUUUGAAUCUCCAAAAGAAAGGAAUCUUGAAGGAAAGAUCUCUCACACCGGAUGACCCUAUGGAGGGUUAUAAAGAUCCAGUGUAUGAUGAUUCUGUCCUGCAGAGAAUCCCUUCUGAGUUCAAACACUGGACAUUGGACAAACUGAUUCACAACCGAAUAGAACUGGAACAUUUUAGACAACAUCUAAAAGAAAACUUUGCAGAAAUAGAUUUGAAGUGUUGGAUGGAUAUAGAAGCUUGGAGAAGGACACCACAUGAUGAUGCUAAAAGUAGAGAUCAAAGAGCACGGGAUAUAAAAAAAAACUAUCUGAACAGAAAAUACUUUUUUGGUCCAAGCAGCCCUGCCGGGAAAGAAGGACAAAACAGAGUAAUGGAAUUAGGUGGAGGCUGGGGCAAGUUUUUAGAAGACAAACCUCACAGUAGCUCUAUACUAGAAGCACAAAAAUAUGUCCGUCAAAGGUUGGAAAAUAAACAUUUGCCCCUGUUCUUACUGUCAAAAGGCUUCCAAUCUCGUAACACGGCAGAAGACAUCUCCGAGGGCACAGAUGACCUACUAGCUACUAGGAAGCGUCGGGCACAGGCUGUUCUCAAGCUUCUAGAGAGCAGAUGGAUUUCUUCUACCAAAGAAAUUUACAUGUUCAAUAAAGCUUUAUUGAAUCCUUUGACAUGUCAACAGUUUCAGAAGUUUGUGUCACUGCAAGGAGAACAUCUGGAAAAUGACAUUUUAUUUUGGUUAGAGGUAGAGAAAUAUAAGCAUUUACACAAUACCCAUACAGAUGAAGGUUUAUUACAACAAAAAGUCUCAGCCAUCAUCAACUGUUUUAUUGAUUCCUCUAUACCACCCAGUCUGCAGAUUGAUAUACCACAAGAAAUGGCAGACAAAAUACUGGACCAUAAGCACGAGAAGAACCCUUACCUCUUUCGUGAAGCUCAGUUAGCUGUGUUUCGCAUUUUAUUACAAUAUUGGCAACCUUUUUGUGAUUUCCGUGCCAACAUGGACUCAGACACAAAAGUUCUCAAAACUCUUGAACGUCACAGACUCAUUGCAGAUUAUAAGGAAAAAAUUCGAAGAGAAGAAAUUAUGACUCAACGAGAAAAGGAACGCCUUCAGCGUAUUGAAAUGGGCAUAUAUUCUGAGGAAAUGGAUCAGAAAGGAGAAGAGGAGGGUGAGGAGAAGACAGAUCAUGUCAGGUUCAGCUACUCUGCCUAUCUGGAGGAACAAGAACAGUGGAAACGUAAACUAGAAGCACAGUUUCAGCUGACAGGAUCCUGGGAAGACUGGGUCAACUACCAGCAUGCACUGGGCAAUUAUGAUUUAGAAAAUAUGAAGCUUGUAACAGUUGCUGAUAGAGGAUCUCAAACCAUUCGGAGAAAAAUCUAUCUCUUGAAGAAGGUUGACUUGUUGUUGAGAAAUGCUUUUGCUGAUGAUUCUUCAUAUAGUUCUGAUUCAAUGUUUCACCUUCAACAGGAAACAGGAUACUAAAUCUGAGUCUGAUGAUUCUGAUGCUUUAAUAAACAUCUCCCAAUAUUUUCUUCAUGGAUCAGAGCUCAAAGAUGAUCAGUCAGUAAAGACAUCUGAUGUGUCUAGAUUUAAAGGAGAACAAGCAAGGAACUUAGUCAAGAAAGUUUAAGUAAAUUAUACAUACAUUUAAAUUAAUUAUAUGUUUAAACAAAUUAUCUAAUUACUUGAUGAAGCUGUUUUAUAAAAUACAUGUAGGGCCUAUUUAUUUUUGUGUCAUUGUUUCAUGUUUCUAUUUGAAUUGUUAUGAUGAGCUGUGAUAGCAACUUAAAACUCUAUUUGUUUUUACUAUGUAUUUAUUGAUGUGGUCUCAAUAAGCCACUCUAUUGUUUGAAGGGCUCUCUAUCUCAUUCAUAACUAAAACUGUUAGAAUUGAAUUCAGUGUUCAUUUUAGCAGUAAUAGAAAUACUUUUUUUUUAUUCUGUAUUACAUUUUGUUCAUUAUUGUUUCAUGAGCCCACACUUUUCUGUGAUAAAAUUAUUUACUUACAAAUUCAAACUAGUUUGAUAGCAUUAAGUACCUAAUUAUAACAUUAUUAUAUACAUCUCUUACAUCAUCUGCCCUAUAUAGAUUGCAAGGCAGAAAUGAGUUCUUAACUUUUUACUAUAUAGAUCUAUAAUAAAUAAUAUAUAUUUCAAUAUUA